AUAGUGAGUCAACAGUGGAAUGCAAGACGUCAAUUUUUACUGAAUCUUUAGCUUUGCCAGAAUACGUCACUCAAGCAAGUAAUCCACCAAUGAUACUCCUCUUUGGAUUGAAGACUUUGGAACCAAGUUUCCUAGUUACAGAAGGCUUUGAUUAAAUAUUGGAUUUUCCUUUAAACAGAGAUGCAUGUUAUAUUUGAGAGCAACAGUAGGGAAUAUUUUCCGUGCUGAAAGUCUGAUGGGAAUCUCAGAUUGCCAAGUCCAUGAAAAGACUCUGAGACCCAGACCAUGAGAUGGUAGGUCGUCCUGGAUUUUAAAGCUUCCAAAUACCAUUCUGAGCAAUGGCAGUAAGAAUUCAAACGUAAAGCAAAUCCCAUUUAACAGAUCUGGUCACUAAAGACAACUGGCAAUGAAAUGGGUGUGUGAAAGAGGAGGAAACCAGAUAUUAUGUUACUUAAAAGUCAUUCAUCAUGUCACAGGAAGGCAGCAAUCUGAACUCCUGAAAUAAAUAAUCGCUGAAGGUGAUCUCUCUACACAAAGGUACUGUAGCAUGAAGCCACUUCCAACUGCUAAAAUAUUCCUUCUGUAAUGAGGCCAGUUACCCAAGUGCACUGUGUCCAGGGAAGAACAGAACAUAUUAAAAUGAUUUCCUGUGUGAGAUAUCUCCAUGAACUAUCUGUAGGCACGGACUUACUGCUCUAUUGUGCAAGUGGGAAUGCAGUGCAAUAUUCUCAUCUCUAUUUUUACCAGUAUGAAUGCUGAAGGAAUGCAGGAUUCUCAAGACUAAGUUGUAAAAACUGUUUUCUUCCUAUUGAAGAGCCCCAUUCCUAUCUGCCUAUCAGCACAUUGAUUCCAAGUAAAAUUAAUUGUCAUUUUGCAUUUGUCAGCAGAGAGUAGUAUUUCCUUCUGUCCUACAAUUCCUGUCUGCUUUAUCCUACUUUGUGUGAAACAGUUCUUCAGCAUUUCUUACCAAGAAUGGAUGGCUUGAAAACAUCUAUUUGAUAUUAUAGCUGGUAGCAAUGUUGAAGCUGUAACUGUCUGAAAGAGUAACGAUGCUUUUGUUGGUGGUCAAGGUAACAGCACCACUGCACAUUAAAACAAACACUCAGUACCAUUCUUCUGAAAAUGUACUGUCUUGUCUUUGUGAAGACAGUGACUUUGGGAUGAGGAUGGGCACAAAAGCUUUUGUCAGCAAAAUAAGUGAUUGCAAGGGAUCAGUAGUUGUAAACACUUGCUUCUAAGAGUUUAGAAGCACAAGCAUUCUUUGUUUUUCCAUCUCUUACAACAUGCAGUGAUACACUCAAGUUCACUCUGACGUCUAGCCCAGCAUAAACUGAGGAAUUUUCCUAAGUGGUUUCUGCACUGAA